UAGCUGCCCAGGAGUCGGGUCGGCACCUCACUCUCUUGUACCUUGCCUUCUGCAUCGGAGCACCUGAUGAAAUCAGCCAUGCAUUAUGUACCAGGACCAGGACAUUAUUCACCAGGACCUAUUAACUUUACGAGCACCCGGCAAAGCUUAAAGGAGUGGAAGACAGUCAUUUGUUUGACUUUGAUUGCUCAACUACCAAAAACAUCCCCUCUGCCUGACGGUCACUCUGGCACACCAUCCAGAUCUUCAGCUGUGAAGAUACAACCAUACAAUGGGUUUGGAAAAAGGCAGCCAGGCAAAUAGCCCUCAUCAGGAAACCGCUGACUGUUUGUACGCCCACCCCUGGCAGGGAAGAGCCAAAAACCACCAGCCACACAGCAAAAGUGAAAACUACAAGCAGGCACUUUGGAAAGAGUUCCAGGGAAGUACACAAAAGCAGUUUUCAAUCCAAAUUUAAAAUCUGCAUUAGUCAUUUGCAGCAAAUUCUGAUGUAGCCAAAGAUGUUGCAAUUUAAGAGGAAAGAAAGUUGACAAACACUUCUCACCACAAAUUUAAACACUUGAUUUUAACAUAACAGUCUUUAGUUCUGUAACUUCAACACUACAGAAGGGUUGGCCUUGUGAGCUGCCAGUCUAACCUCGUCCUCCUUCAUGGGACUAUUUCUGCGCAUUUGCUAAUGAAAAGUUCCACAGAAAACAUCUAGGUAACACUGACUAGCUCUGUCUUUUAAAAGAACAGGAGUAAAAGCUCAUCUUCGCCCUCUCAGUGCCCAGCGAAAGUAAAACGCCAAACAAAACUGAAAUGUACAAAGCCAUGCGUUAACAAGAUCAGUCUCGUUUCUCAUUGUCUGAUGCUGAGCUUAAUCAGGCUCCUGCACUAUUUCCGGACGUGGAAGCGCAGCAGCAAUCACACCCAGUGUGAGCACUGCACUGAUACACUUGAGGCAUCUUCAUCUUGCAGACAGAGAGGGAAACCAUCCUCCCCACCAGGACCACGCGAACCUGCGCCGAGGCAGGACCCACACUCCCGAGAGAGGGGCUGUUGGGUGGGCACACAGAGCGAACCAGCCCCGGCACCUUUUGCUUUUGCCACACUGAGGCAGCAACCGCCACCGGCUGCUGCCCUUGCAACACCGGGGACGUGUUUUCUUGCUGCGAAGGGGAAGUGAGGGCUCACUUCUGCCCACUUCCCCCUGCUUCCCCAGGCAUUUCAGCUGGCACAAGACAUGGUUGUCACCUCCGGCCGCUCUCCUCCGGUCCAGUCCCCUCAAGAGAAAAAAAGAGCUUCCUUUGAUGGGCUUGUAGGGAGACAGAGAACAAGACACUGGUUUCUGUCUCUUCUGAAAUAUUUAAUCACAGCACAACUUUCCCCAUCGACCCAUUUGUAACACAUACCAUGUCUCUAGCCGGCAUGAGAAUUAAGAGCAUUUCAGUUAAAACAAUACUGUCUUUUUCAUCAAACAAAAUUACUUCUUGUGAAUAUUAUGUGCCAUUUGAAGAAGUACACUGAGGUUAUAGCCUCUUAGUUCCGGAGAUCUCAUGCUCGAUACAAAUUCGGCACAAACAUGGACUUGUAAACCUUGCUGCUCUGCUGGCUAAGGAGAAAGAAACUAGUACAACAGCAGGUUUCAGUUGCAAGAUUUUUUUGCCAUACAAAAAGGAACAGAAAUGCAGGUUAAACGGAGUUCACAGGAACCUAAUCUUUAAUUAAUCUUUGAAAUAAAUGCCUGACCUCACACAUACUUUCCAGUUAAAACUCAACAUUCCUGAAGGGAGCUUUGCUGCCUAAUCCAACAAGCUCCCCACCCCUCUUUUUUUAACUAAAUACACAAUCUUACUUAAAUUCAUUCUCUAAAAUUGUUGAACAAAGAGCAAUUAUUUAAAAGGUUUCCUUAAAAAGACACCAUAGAAGAACCACAACGUAGUGUGUUGUGCUGAGCAUCUAGCACAACACAGUCUCCACUAAUAAAACAUACUUAGCUUAGAUGUA